rnacentral:lncRNA from 1 species
CUUGAGCCAAACUAACCAACCAGAUAUGCCACAUUAACUUAAUUUGAUCUAGCUAUCUACCAAAACUAGGGAUGGCAGUGAGUCAGGCAUAGAUAGAGUAGGCUCAUACUUGUAUCUACCUGACAAGUAAAUCUCAUUUCUAUAUCUGUGUCAUAUCCGUCUCGGAUUGGAUCAAAUAGAGAUGCGGAUUGGAUCGGGUAUGGAUGAAUAAAAAGGGUUAGAUUGAAUCGAAUCGGGGC